CAGUCGCGCGGUAAAACGUAGGUGGCAAGCGUUGUCCGGAAUUAUUGGGCGUAAAGGGCUCGCAGGCGGUUUCUUAAGUCUGAUGUGAAAGCCCCCGGCUCAACCGGGGAGGGUCAUUGGAAACUGGGAAACUUGAGUGCAGAAGAGGAGAGUGGAAUUCCACGUGUAGCGGUGAAAUGCGUAGAGAUGUGGAGGAACACCAGUGGCGAAGGCGACUCUCUGGUCUGUAACUGACGCUGAGGAGCGAAAGCGUGGGGAGCGAACGGGAUUAGAUACCCGAGUAGUCCCUGUCUCUUAUACA
rnacentral:rRNA from 1 species